AUGGGGGAGGGAGGGAGGGAGGGGCUUUUGCAGGUCGUGACCCCCCUUGACCUCUCUUUGCCCCCCCCCCAUGACCCCGCAGACGGAGGCGGUGCUGUGCGAGUGCCGGGUGCGCUUCCUGUCCUUCAUGGGCAUCGGGAGGGACGUCCGCUCCUUCGCCUUCAUCAUGGCCACCGCCCCCGGGGACUUCCGCUGCCACAUGGUCUGGUGCGAGCCCAACGCCGCCGGGCUGAGCGAGGCCGUCCAGGCCGCAUGCAUGCUCCGCUACCAGAAGUGCCUGGACGCGCGCCCGCAGGCCUCCACCAGCCCUUCCUCGUCCUCCUCCUCGUCCUGCCUCCCGGCCCCUCCGGCCGCGGACUCCGUGGCCCGCCGCGUGGGCUCCUCCGUCCGGAAGGGCGUCCAGACCCUGCUGGGGACCCUCAAGCCCAAGCGCCAGGGGGGCGCCCAGACGCCGUGACCCCCGACCCCUCUGGGGACCCCCUCAGAGACCCCUCCUCCAUACGCCCACCUCCCCCCCCCACCGGACCACAGCUCCCCCCCAUGUCCCCCCUUCGGUGAAAGCAAGUGUGCAAGGUGUGUAUUUAUGCAGAGCGAGUGAGGCAGGAAUGACUGUGUCCUCUCCCUUUUUGAGCUGCUGGAAGGGAGGGAAGAAAGUAGGGGAGGGGGCAAGGAAGAGUUUGGGGGGUCUUCCCUCCCCCCCCCCCACAACGUCAUUUAGUCUAACUGAAUUUGAGGGGGAGAAGCUGAUGUUGCUGCUGUCGAUGAGACCAUUGCCGGUUGGGGGUGGGGGCUGUGUCUAGGCACUGGCCAGCCUUGCCCCCGCCCCAAAUAAAAGGACUGAGGCCUUGCAGGUGGGGAGGAGGGCAGAAGAGAGCUCUGUGUUGUACUAAAUUCAUUAAUAAACUCUGUUCCCAUUGAGUCUGAUGGUUUUGUGGCUUGACAACAGUGUGGGGAGCAAUGGGGCUGUUCCUUAUUUCCACUUGGGGGGUGGGUCUUGUCAACAAGAGGGGGAAGGCCCUCACUGUCCCCCGUGGUUGGAAAGGGGCCUCGUUGCUCUACAUGGGGAAGGGGUUGAUGCACAGGGCCCCAAUAUUUGUAGUUCAGGCUGUAACUGUAAAUAUGUAAAUAAAGUUUAACAACAGUUGGAUUUACAACUGAACCCUUCGCCUGCUGGAGGCCAGCAGGCGAAGGUUCCGGUGAAAAACCAAGUGGUGUUAAUUUUUAUUUUCCCAUUUACAUUAACUUC
rnacentral:lncRNA from 1 species